rnacentral:misc_RNA from 1 species
AACGCAUAUGGCACCUCCAGGCCCUGCCCGGAGGUAUGUCUGUUUGAGAAUCAUAACUGACUUGCUUUUACCGAGCAAUUGGGCUCACACCACUGUCUGCCCGAAAGCAGCCGCGCUGUCGUGGGGUUACAAAUGCUGCGACGACGAACAUCAAUCAUAUCACGUGAUCUCAAAUCAGACAGGACUACCCGCCGAACUUAA